rnacentral:tRNA from 1 species
ACGCCAGUAGCUCAAUUGGUAGAGUGGCGGUCUCCAAAACCGUUGGUUGGGGGUUCGAGUCCCUCCUGGCGUG